rnacentral:rRNA from 1 species
GACGAACGCUGGCGGCGUGCUUAACCCUUUCAAGUCAUGGGGGUCCGCAAGGACAACCGGCGAACGGGUGCGUAACACGUGAGCGACCUGCCUGAGUGCGGGGGAUAGCCGGCCCAACGGCCGGGUAAUACCGCAUACGCUUUUUCGAGGGCAUCCUUGGGAAAGGAAACCUCCGGGGCACUCAGAGGGGCUCGCGGCCUAUCAGCUAGUUGGCGGGGUAAUGGCCCACCAAGGCGACGACGGGUAGCUGGUCUGAGAGGAUGGCCAGCCACAUUGGGACUGAGAGACGGCCCAGACUCCUACGGGAGGCAGCAGUGGGGAAUCUUGCGCAAUGGCCGAAAGGCUGACGCAGCGACGCCGCGUGUGGGAGGAAGCUCUUCGGGGUGUAAACCACUGUUGCCCGGGACGAACGAUGAGUUUUUACUCAUGUGACGGUACCGGGUGAGGAAGCACCGGCUAACUCUGUGCCAGCAGCCGCGGUAAUACAGAGGGUGCGAGCGUUGUCCGGAAUCACUGGGCGUAAAGGGCGCGUAGGCGGCUCGAUAAGGUUGCGGUGAAAGCCCGGGGCUCAACCCCGGGUCGGCCGUGGCAACUGUCGAGCUGGAGCACUGUAGAGGCAGGUGGAAUUCCGGGUGUAGCGGUGGAAUGCGUAGAGAUCCGGAAGAACACCGGUGGCGAAGGCGGCCUGCUGGGCAGUGGCUGACGCUGAGGCGCGACAGCGUGGGGAGCAAACAGGAUUAGAUACCCUGGUAGUCCACGCCGUAAACGAUGGCACUAGGUGCUUGAGGGAGCGACCCUCCGAGUGCCGGCGCUAACGCAUUAAGUGCCCCGCCUGGGGAGUACGGCCGCAAGGCUGAAACUCAAAGGAAUUGACGGGGGCCCGCACAAGCGGUGGAGCAUGUGGUUUAAUUCGACGCAACGCGCAGAACCUUACC